UACGUAGGGUGCGAGCGUUGUCCGGAAUUACUGGGCGUAAAGAGCUCGUAGGCGGUUUGUCGCGUCUGCUGUGAAAACCCGAGGCUCAACCUCGGGCCUGCAGUGGGUACGGGCAGACUAGAGUGCGGUAGGGGAGACUGGAAUUCCUGGUGUAGCGGUGAAAUGCGCAGAUAUCAGGAGGAACACCGAUGGCGAAGGCAGGUCUCUGGGCCACUACUGACGCUGAGAAGCGAAAGCAUGGGGAGCGAACAGG
rnacentral:rRNA from 1 species